AAAUGUCCUAAAAUGACAUAUUAGAGAUGGAAUUGACCACAAAUUUUGGAAAUGUUGGUUGGCAUCGGGAUCUGCUGAAGGAAUUAGGUUGACGAACAUUUAUUCAAAAUUGAAAUCGGUGAUGGAAUUUAUUCAAACGAAAAAGUAUGCGUUUUCGUUUGGGAAGCAAGAGGAGUGACUUUCCGAUACGUCUCAAAUAUAAUAAAGUAUGAUUUUGUCAAUCAGGGCUUAAAACAUGUAGAGCAAGGUACGGCAUUCCGGCGUGUCUCGAACGUAAGCAAGGUUAUGUCCUGAUUACGAGGAUAAGCAAAUUUCACGAAUCGAGAGUUAGUUGAAGUUCUGUCCGGAUUACGGAACAAGCUGAUUGAAGCGACAACGAAUCUCACAAAUCAUUUAUCUGUCUGUAGAUAUUCCGCUAUGAUAUUCAAAUUGAAAUGGUUUUUUACCAAUGUGAUCGUUUCCUUUGAGCAGCUCUUGUAUGCUUAUUAAAAACCGAAACAAUUUGUACAGUUUAGUCAAACUUAACGGACGGUUUCAUAAAGACCAAAUGUGUUUCUUCCGAUGUUUGGCGUUGGCUAAAAAGUUCUCACUGCGGGGCCUCGAGAAGAAAAAAAUCUUUUCUUUGGCAAUUUUGUAAGCAAACCCCUUCAACAUUUGAAGGAAUAACUUUAAAAGACUUGGCUUUAGUGGAAGAAAAAUAUAUAUUCAAUAAAUA